CUACAGCCAAUUAAGCCAAACAUGCUCUUUUCCCAGAUGUGCAAUGACUGCAAACAAAAGUUUCCUCAGUAGUGUACACAAUUCCAUUGCACGUGUGCAUCACGCUAAGAACAUGGAGACAGAC
rnacentral:snoRNA from 3 species